AUUGAACGCUGGCGGCAUGCCUUACACAUGCAAGUCGAACGGUAACAGGUCUUCGGAUGCUGACGAGUGGCGAACGGGUGAGUAAUACAUCGGAACGUGCCCGAUCGUGGGGGAUAACGAAGCGAAAGCUUUGCUAAUACCGCAUAAGAUCUACGGAUGAAAGCAGGGGACCGCAAGGCCUUGCGCGAACGGAGCGGCCGAUGGCAGAUUAGGUAGUUGGUGGGAUAAAAGCUUACCAAGCCGACGAUCUGUAGCUGGUCUGAGAGGACGACCAGCCACACUGGGACUGAGACACGGCCCAGACUCCUACGGGAGGCAGCAGUGGGGAAUUUUGGACAAUGGGCGAAAGCCUGAUCCAGCCAUGCCGCGUGCAGGAUGAAGGCCUUCGGGUUGUAAACUGCUUUUGUACGGAACGAAAAGACUCUGGUUAAUACCUGGGGUCCAUGACGGUACCGUAAGAAUAAGCAUCGGCUAACUACGUG
rnacentral:rRNA from 1 species